GCCCCCGUAGCUCAAUGGAUAGAGCGCCUGACUUCGAAUCAGUAGGUU
rnacentral:tRNA from 1 species